CCCUUAGAUGUCCUGGGCCGCACGCGCGCUACACUGAUGCAUUCAACGAGUAUUUCCUUGGCCGAGAGGCCUGGGCAAUCUUUUAAACCUGCAUCGUGAUAGGGAUAGAUUAUUGCAAUUAUUAAUCUUGAACGAGGAAUUCCUAGUAAACGCAAAUCAUCAAUUUGCGUUGAUUACGUCCCUGCCCUUUGUACACACCGCCCGUCGCUCCUACCGAUUGAAUGUGUUGGUGAGGAGCUCGGAUUGGCAGCAGUUGGUGGUUCGCCACCGGCUAUUGCUGAGAAGUCCUCCAAACCGCCCCAUUUAGAGGAAGGAGAAGUCGUAACA
rnacentral:rRNA from 1 species